rnacentral:lncRNA from 1 species
GCUGCUGUCACUAGAGCCCCUUGCUGGUUUCAUUGAUCGAUUCGGUGUGAGUAGGUCGGUUCUGUUCAGGUGCCUGAUGAGAAAGGAAGAUCGAAGCCUUCAUUGCUGAACUUUUCCAUCCUCUGUUGGAAGGAGGAAGGGACCAGGUGAAACCCCGCUGCAGCUGCCAUGCCAACACUUAAACUUUGUGUACUGCAAGCCACCAUCACGUCAGAGAAGAUGCACCAGGCACAAGACCAUGAGGACAUCGGAUCCAAAGAGAGUAAGCUGGGAGUAUAAAGCAGAAUGGAACCAAAUUCAUCCACUGCAGUUGACGGUUACACUAGGGUCUGAAUUUGGCCCAGUGCAUUUAACCACCUUCACCAUGUUCCUGUGA